rnacentral:misc_RNA from 1 species
AGAUCAUUUGUCACAAUUCAACUGUGAGUUUUUUCUCGCAAUAAUUUUCUAUUUUAGUUGAAAUGCAAGACGAUGGGAUAUUGAAAUAUUUGGCUUUUCUUGAUGUAAACGAAAGACUGGAAUAAAUGGAAAUAAAAGCGAUUGAGAGGGAAUAAAAGAAGGAAAGAUAUGUGUUUAUAUAUUUGUGCUUGUUUGAAGAGGAG